GGUCAACAGUAGUCCAUUACCCCAUAGACCCUGGUCAACAGUAGUCCACCCCCCUGGUCAACAGUAGUCCACUACCCUGGUCAACAGUUGCCCACUACCCAGGUCAACAGUAGUCCACUACCCUGGUCAACAGUAGCCACUACCCAGGUCAACAGUAGUCCACUACCCUGGUCAACAGUAGUCCACUACCCUGGGCUACAGUAGUCCACUACCCUGUUCAACAGUAGUCCACUACCAUGGUCAACAGUAGUCCAUUACCCCAUAGACCCUGGUCAACAGUAGUCCACCCCCCUGGUCAACAGUAGUCCACUACCCUGGUCAACAGUUGCCCACUACCCAGGUCAACAGUAGUCCACUACCC
ensembl:lncRNA